AAAGAAAUCGUUAAGGGCGUAUGGCGGAUGCCUAGGCUUUCAGAGGCGACGAAGGACGUGGUAAGCUGCGAAAAGCUGCGGGGAUUGGCACACACGAAUUGAUCCGCAGAUAUCCGAAUGGGGCAACCCGGCAUGUUGAAGACAUGUCACCUCGUAAGAGGAGCAAACCCGGAGAACUGAAACAUCUAAGUACCCGGAGGAAAAGAAAUCGAAGAGAUUCCGUAAGUAGUGGCGAGCGAAAGCGGAUUAGCCCAAAAGUCUUUUUAUGUUUAAUAGAAUGUUCUGGAAAGAACAGCCGUAGAGGGUGAUAGCCCCGUAUAUGAAAGGCAUAUUAAGAUGAUAAAUG
rnacentral:rRNA from 1 species